rnacentral:rRNA from 1 species
CCUACGGGAGGCUGCAGUGGGGAAUAUUGGACAAUGGGGGCAACCCUGAUCCAGCCAUGCCGCGUGUGUGAAGAAGGCCCUCGGGUUGUAAAGCACUUUCAGUGAGGAAGAACGCCUGGUGGUUAAUACCCAUCAGGAAAGACAUCACUCACAGAAGAAGCACCGGCUAACUCCGUGCCAGCAGCCGCGGUAAUACGGAGGGUGCGAGCGUUAAUCGGAAUUACUGGGCGUAAAGCGCGCGUAGGUGGCUUGAUAAGCCGGUUGUGAAAGCCCCGGGCCCAACCUGGGAACGGCAUCCGGAACUGUCAAGCUAGAGUGCAGGAGAGGAAGGUAGAAUUCCCGGUGUAGCGGUGAAAUGCGUAGAGAUCGGGAGGAAUACCAGUGGCGAAGGCGGCCUUCUGGACUGACACUGACACUGAGGUGCGAAAGCGUGGGUAGCAAACAGGAUUAGAUACCCUAGUAGUC